CACAGCCACCCUGCCGUGCCACGUGAUAUGCGGGUGUGACCAGCUAGUCAGGUCCAACAGAAUUUUCUUUAGGAGGGGUGUAAAAUUGCAAUCAUACAUAUCCUUCGGUUCCGUGGUUACCCAGACGCCUAAAUACUUCAUCUUGCCAUAGCACCAGCGGAACGCGAAUUGCGACUCCAGGGAGUGGAAGUCCUCCGCGGGGAGCGAGACGUUCAACGUCUCACAUUUUGAAAUAUUAAGUUUGAAGCCGGAUAUCCGUCCAAAUUUACUGAAUUCCGAGAGGAGGCAAGGCAAUGUGACUCGAGGGUUGUGGACGAAAAAGAGGAGAUCGUCUGCAUAAGCAGCCACCUUGUGUUGCACAUCCUGCCAUGUGUAUCCCAUGAUGUCCGGGUUUUGCCUAAUCGCUUGUAGGAGGGGUUCCAGUUGGAGCGCGAACAGCAGUGGCGAGAGCGGGCAUCCUUGCCUGGUGCCGUUGCGAAUCGUGAAGUCGGCGGUUGUGGCACCGUUAAUCCGCACUGUCGCUCUGGGAUCUGUGUAUAGGGCAGAAAUCCAUGAUAGAAGCCUUUCUCCGCAACCUUGCCAUUUCAGCGUCUCCAUCAUAUACGUCCAGUUGACUCGAUCAAAUGCCUUUUCCGCAUCUGUCGACAAAAGCAUUAAUCGGAUCCCACGUUUCUUAGCAUGGUGUUGGAUAGCGAAUAGCCUCAGUGUGCUAUCUCUGGCUUCCCUACCAGGGAUGAAACCCGUCUGGUCUGCGUGUAUCAAGUCGGGCAAAAGACGUUUCAAGCGGGUCGCUAAUACCUUUGUAAACAAUUUGGAGUCAACAUUAAGCAACGAGAUCGGGCGAUAGCUGCCACAUUGUAGAGGGUCCUUCCCUGGUUUAAGAAGUACGGUGAUGGUAGCCGCCACUGAUUCCCUGCCCAAGGUCCCCCCCUCUCCCACUGCGUUGAGAGCAUCAGUAAGCCGUGAUAAAAGCAGUCCCGAGAAGCUUUUAUAAUAUCCUAGGGAGAAGCCAUCCGGGCCAGGUGCUUUACCGGUUUUGGACGUUUUAAGAGCUGCUGCUAUUUCUUCCACACUGAUUGGUGUGUCUAGCAUUGCCGCCGAGUCCCGGUCCAUUACGUUCAAGACCGUUUCAGAUAGAUAUGCACGUAUCGUCGAGCGAUCCCGAUCAGCCUCAGCUCCUGCGGUGGGCGGGUAUAGGUUGUAGAGUUUCUCAUAAAAAAUCCUGAAUUCCUCUGCGAUCUUUUCGGGGAAGGGGGAGAUUUCCCCCGUGGUCAGGCGUAUCUGGCGGAUUUGUCUAUGAGGUACAGGGCCUUUCAAAAGUCUCGCAAGAUAUUUGCCGCCUUUAUUGGCAUGGGCAUAGUAAAAGCCUUUAGUGCGUUGCACCGACCUGAGAUGUCGUUUCAGUAGAAGUGCUUUGAGUUUCCUCCUAUGCUCCAUUAGGUCACCGUAUACCGCAUUCAAUUGGGAUCUUUUGUGGCUACGUUCCAAUGUCGAGAUAGCUUGGUGUAAUUCAGUCAGUUCACGCAUGACCGCUUUCCGUUUCUGUGAGGCAAGGCGUAUUAUGGUGCCGCGGAUCACGCUCUUGUGUGCUUCCCAGAGAGAGAUCGUGGAAAUAUCCGGGGUAUCAUUCUCCAGGAAAUAUUGCUCCAAUUCCCGACGUAUCU